UACGUAGGGGGCGAGCGUUGUCCGGAGUUACUGGGCGCAAAGCGCUUGUAGGCGGUCCACCAAGUUUGGGGUGACAGUUGCCGACUUAAUCGGCAAAGUGCCUCAAAGACUGGCGGACUUGAGGGCCACAGAGGGACAUGGAACUCCAGGUGUAGUGGUGAAAUGCGUAGAUAUCUGGAAGAACACCAAAGGCGAAGGCAGUGUCCUGGGUGGUCGCUGACGCUGAGAGGCGAAAGCCAGGGGAGCGAACGGG
rnacentral:rRNA from 1 species